CUGGUGGGUGGGAUUGGAGGGUGGGAAUGUGUGAGGGUGGGUGGGAGGCUAGGUUUUUGGCUAGGAGUUCUGAAAUAGGCUCAGGCCACUUUUUUCAGACUUUUAAGUGUGUAUGUAAGUGUGGGUAUGUGUGUUUUUAAGUGUGUGUGUUUAAAAAUAAUGUUUUAUCUUCCCUCCCUGUUCCUUACCGUUUUCAUUUUCCAACAGUCUACUAGAGAAAAACAUGGUUGGCCUUGAGAACAUAAAGGAAGAGGCAUGUAUUUGACAUGGUAUUUUUCCCUUUCUUUAUGUUAUAAUUGAGUAGUAGCCCUCUAAUUUGUAGUUUGGGCAAGUACAGCCAACACCCUGACUCUUAACCUUAUUAUGAGAACUUCCUUUUUACCCCUUUUUUUGUUUUUGUGCAAAACAGAGAUGGGGUUGAGGAAGGAGGGUUGGCGAGCAAGGCCAGCUUCUGCCCUACAGAAUUGGGUGUGUCUUUUUUUUCAAGUGAGGCUUUGGGAAAGUGUUCAAAUGAGAGCAGUCUUAAGGUCUCUAAGAGAUGGGGAAUGUGCUAUGUAUAUCCUGCCUGUGAAAGCCCAAACCAUAUGGGAGAAGCUAGAGGAUACUAAAAACAAUGAAAUUGUGAUUUGGAAGUUUAGAACAUUGUUUUAAAAAUUACAUUAUAAAUGUAAGACAUGCUUUUUAUGUGUAUAUCCGAAGGGAAACAGCUACAUCCUCAAGUUUUUGCAGCCUAUAUGACUUGAGAUUGGAGCUUGUGAAUUUAACAGUACUGGUGCCAUGAGAAUGAGCAAAGCCUAGCCAAUGGAUACUAUUGUGUUUAGAUUGUUCAUCUUUGGUAGCUUUAGGUUCUUGAUCGAGGUUCUUAAGAUUUCUAAGUCCUUUAUAAAAAUAGGUCAAGAGUCCUGUUGUUAUGGAGGCUUGAUUAUCCCAGAUAUUAGGAGUGAACAUUUUUAAUAAAUCUUUCAGAAAAUCUUGGCUAGAAAGAAUUCUAAGUUAGUUGUCUAACCACUGAAAACUACCUAGCCAGAGAUCAUUUAAUGAGAUAUUCUUUGAUCUUCAUUGCAUUUUUUUUGCUCUGGAAAAGGUGGUUCAAUUUGAGUUUGUUUUCAUGAUUUGAUUGCAGCUUACUUCAUGCCAAGGAUUUUUUAGGGAGAGGUCGAAUUAUUUUUCAUUUGGAAGUCAUAGGGAGACAGGAGUUGUACUUAUGCUGCUACUUGCCAGGAACAGGUUGGGAAGAAAAUUGUGGCUGUUGGAAUUGAUGAUGUACUGGCCUAAUAUAGAAAGGAAUUUGUAGGCAGGAGUAAACGUUAACUGACGGUGGGUUAGUGCCCUGCAUCUUGCAUAUUUGAACUGUCUAGAGUUCCUGCCAUUGCUGGGUAUAAAACGAGGAGCUCUCUGUUGACCUGUAAAUCAUUAAUACUUCUUGACUUAGAGUGUCACUUCACUUUAUAGAUGACAUUUUCCUCUUUCCCCUUGAUAUUUUCUAUGUUGUGUUAGAUAAUUGGUAGAUAUAUAGUUGUGGUUUAGUACAUUUAGGGCUUCUAUUUAUUUAGAUUUUGUUUGUUGGAGUCUGUUUCCAAAAGGGAAUGUGCCAUUUAGUCUGCAUCUGUAUCUUUGUGGACUUGAUGAUCACUGGUUUGAUUUUGAAAAAUGUCUUUUCCAGCUUUUAGUUACUCUCAUCAAAUGUCACAUAUUUUCUAAUCACAUGCACUCCUUUACCACAGAGGCACAUAAUCAUUUGGCCUCAUAGCAGUUAUCCAUGGCCGUACUGUAGUAAAGUUCCUUAGAACUUUGCCAGGAGUGAACUAGAAAAAAGUGCUUACUAGGGCCUAAGAGUUGCUUUGUGCCGUGUAGUCCGGCCUUUGCACUAGUAGAUCAUUGCUGACAUAGGUCAGUUUAGAGACCUUUCUGUGUUAAUGCCUCCUGGUACUGUCUUAAGAUACGUACAGUGUCUGUUUUUAGAUCUAUGCAUAUGUCAUGAAGCUCCUUGUGGGCUCUGCAUGAAGCUGCUGCUUUGUUUUUGGGUUAACAGAUGUGCCUGUCAACUAGCAUGUGUAUUGUCCAAAUUCCAUAAACUUAAGGUUUUUAAGGGCUGUGUGGUUUCUGAGCUCUAUGUGUCUUUCCUAUCCUUGUACCUUCAAAGGGUGAGAAAUGAGAUUUAUACAUCCAAAGUUAGUCUGAUAAAUAUGGCUUUUUGUUUCUCCAUGUAACCUAGACUGUCAAAAAUAAGUGAUGGUGAUAAGUAGGCCUGGAGCCUCAGCUUCUGUAAAUCUCAUUCCUAAAAUUUUGCUAGACUCGUGUUGGCAAAAACAAAUACCUGUGGAUUGUCCUUAAGGCUUUUAAUCAGAUACCUGUGUUGCUGUUAGCUGAACUGUAGUGAAGCAUCGAUCCAAAUCGGUCUUCUGAAGUAUCAGUUAUGCUUUUGAGUUUAGAAAAUACUUAGGUGUUAGUCUAGUCUUCCCAUUCAUGAAUCAGUGUAUGUCCAUAUCAGAGAGCCUCAACUUCUUUUUUCUUCCUUUUUAAAAAUGAUUUUAGUGUUUUGAUUUAGUGUAUACUACAUAGUUCAGUAUUAUUGGCUUUACCAGUGUUGACAGAAAAAUUUUAAAUCUCCAGUUGCAAACAGCAAUGGAUUAGGAUAUGGAAAUAAAAUCAUGGUGACAUCACUGCUGAGUUAUCUUAAACCUCUGCUACUUAAUUCUCCAUAUUGAAAUGCAUACUCCUCCACAUACAUGGCUUCCAAGUAAAGGCAAUUGUAGAGGGGCCCUGUCUAUCCCAGUAUGGUUGGAUUUUAAACAUAUCUGUGUUUCCGUUAUUUUGGGAACUGAUUAAUAUUUACAAUUUUUUUUGUUUAUGAGUUAUUUUGAUACUAAGAAAAGAGAGAAUCUAGAACAUCUUGCAGUUGAAAUACAAAUUUUAUUCUUUUGGUCUUGGGAGAAUUUAAGCAGUCUAUGCAACUCAUCAAAUGGUGAGAAAUAGCCCUCCGAGGUUCCAGUAAGCUUUCAGUGACUUUGAUACCUCCCCAAGUUUCUUGAGUUGCUGCUUGUUAACACCCAGCUUUUAACUGAGUGUUUGCUCCUGAUGGUUUAGGAGAUUUUCAUGUUGUAUCACACUGUCAAGUUUUAUUUUGUCUUUUUAUCCCUCCGUGGAUGUGAGUUUGAAACAAGCACGGUACAGUAAUCCUGCCUGAUAGAGUAGUCUGGAAUGAGAAUUACUUUUUGGGUGAGAGAGUUCUCCAUUUUAAUGUUUCUAAAGUUUUUCAUAUGAACUUGGCAUUGGAAAAGGGAGGUAAAGAAAAAGGACGUUUACUAAAAGCAGUGUCUACUCUUCCCCUUUGUGAGUGUUUAUUCAUGGCUAAUGAAAAAAAGAGAAGGACUCUUGGGUUUUGUGUUGCCAUGUUAAGCAUGGAGAGGGAUGCUUGACAGCAUGCUAAUUGAAGCCAGAGCAAGUAUGUCCUUCAUCAGGUAAUCAGGAACUCUUCAGUUGAAGCUGAGGAACUAACUGAUUAGUUGUUGAUCAUAAUAUAAUUGGUUACAAAGUGGAAGUGCCAGCUGGCUUAAGUACCCAAAGAAAAGAAUGCAGCAGCCUAACUUAGUGUUACCAUAUGUUACUGAAUUUGAAACUGACCUUUUUUCCCACCCUACUUCACACACCUAAAACUCUUUUCUUGUCAGACCAAAGAGCGAAAAGAAAAAAAAAAGUAAAACACUUUACCAAUCUGUCACUCAGGUACAAUUUUGUGGUGAGAUUUUUGUCUGUUCUCUUUGUAUUGCUCUUAAGAGUCCUUUCUCAGCAUAUUAUUCUGCCAUUGCCUCUGUCUUCCUUGGGGCACCUCAGCUCUGGAUGCUACCCCUGGGAUAUCUACUGCUGUUAUGUGAAUGAUAGGAGGUAAGUGACCAUUAUAGUAAGGGCUCUUUGUAAAAAAAUUCAAAAAAUUUAAAAAGGAUGUAUACAUUUUAUAGUCUGGCUAUCAGUUUGAUAUCUUGCUGUCAAGUAUGUUUCUCAAUCUGUAUUUAUCCAUCCCAUCAAUAAAUGUUAAUGGUAAAA
rnacentral:lncRNA from 1 species